UGGGUGAUAUAUUGCGUGAUAGGGGAUGGACAUGUUGUCUUACUGAAGCCAAUAUUGCAACACCAAGAACGGCAGAUUCGUUUUAUGUAUGUUCAAAUGUACCUAGGACUAGACAUGCGCAUCAGACAACUGCAUGUAUUUUGCUUUAACUGUUAAUUUCGGAUUAUGAAAGCUAAACUCAGAAUAUAUAAUUAUGUCAUGACUCUGUGACGUUCACUGAUUUAAAAGACUGGUGUAUA
rnacentral:lncRNA from 1 species